GCCUCUCGCGCGGGCGGAGAAUACGGCCGGCAGCCGCCGCACACGCGCGCAGUGCUGCUCGCCGUGUUCGCCGCUCUUUCUCCGUUCUUUCGCUCACGGGGCCCCGGCUCCUGCCCAGCGCGGGCCGGAGCGUGCGCUCGCCCCUGCGGACGGAGCCUGGAGGAGCUGGGCCGCGGCGGGCCCCGGAGCGGAGUUGCGGCACGGAGUCGGCGGGAGGUCGGCUCCUGUUGCGGCAGGCGUGGCCCGGAGCGCUGGGCAGCCCCUCCAAAGGGGACAUCUUGAAGACAAGCAGCCAGACGUAGUGAUCUAGGUGUUCACUUUGGUCGUCACCUGUGAGGCAAGCAUCUGAGCAUAAGAGGAAUCUGGGAGCUGCUUCAAAAAGGCAUUCAGAACAUCUGUGUUCGGAACGACUGUAUGCUGCCAUGAAGAACUAUAGGCUACCACCCUCAGAUCUUUGUAAGUUAUCACAUGUCAAGAGCAGCCAGGAGGAUCCAAAUGCCAGUGGAAAGGUUCUCCUCCCGGUCCCAACAAGGAGCUUUCGGCUGUAGGAAGGUUGGCCGCGUCCUUACCAGACUUGUGCUGAAGCAUCGUCUCGCAGUUGAAAGAGCAUUGUCACAGCUGGGAGCUCUCCGCAGAGAUCUGUGGCUGGCUGCAGAAGAUGAGCCCCGAAUUGCAGCGUGGACACAGCUAGGUCCUGGGGCUGCGCUGUAUGUGAGCAGGGCUGGGAGGUUGCAGGUGGUUUGGCCCUUGGUGGUUAUAGUUGUCACUGGCUGUGGAUGGUUGCCCAUGGAGCUGAGAUAAGCAAAAAUAUUAAUGGUCUGUAACAGAGAGGAAUUACUGCUUGCGGUGUUUAGGUAUGUUUGGUGUUAGCACAGCUUAGUGCAGUCCAGUGACAUGAUUCUUGCACGUGCUCACAUUUGAACGGUGGCUAAAAGCUAGUCUAUAAACAGCAACAGUAACAGGAUUCUGGUGCACACCUUCCUGUUCUGCUGCCCUUCUAAAUGAAGGGGAAACAUCUUUCCUUGCUUAAAGCUAAGGGUUUGGACUUUUUCACUUGAGGUUUAUUUAUUUUGUUGCUGAGGGUCUCUUAUGCAGGGGUUAUGGUUUCUUACUUUAUUUUGUGGGGUUCAGCCUUUAGCAGUCAGAGUUCACAGGUCGCUCAUCUAGCGAUCAGGGUGCAGGAUUUAAAAUCCAACCUCAUCCCUAGAUUUUACAGCCUCAGCCACUAUUUGGGUGCCAACAUGUGCAGUUUGUCACUUAAGGUUCAGGGCUUAGGGCUUACUGAUUAAUGAAAAAUCCAUAGAUAAUAAACUGUACGCCCUGAAGCCUAGGCAGCCUAAGGCUACAAACCCUCGUUCGAGGUUUCUCAUCUUCCCCUAUACCCAGUGUUCAAUUCUGUGCACUGACACAAGGUCUGGGUUUCGUGUGGUCCAGGUCCAUCCAUUGGGACUGGUGACGUGACAGGCGAGCUGAGAGCUGUGGAAGUGUCCUGCAGGGCUCUAAUCUGGGGCAAGGCAAAAGCACAGACAGGUGAGAUCAAGCAUAGUCUUCUAAAUUCUCAGAGUUGAAUCCUAUCCCUGAAGGAAAAAGCAGAAAAGGAAAAAGCAGAAGGGGUAGGCCGUCAGCUACGCAGACACCUGCCACGUCAAGGGCAGCAGCAGGAGCUGACCCUUCCCUGACGGACGGACGGAUGCUGGUGAUGACUCUUCAGGUGUUACAGGGUAAGGGGAAGCAUGCUGGCACCCAGCUCCGUGGCAGACUCACUUCCAGGUCAUGUUUCUGCACAGUAAAACAAUAAAUAGUUGUUUUAUUCUUUGCA